rfam:Streptococcus sp. HSISM1 chromosome, whole genome shotgun sequence.
AUUUGUCGUGUGCUUUAUUUGAAAUAUUGUCCAAAUAAGAGCUUACAGCAGUUAAAUCU